CACCAGAAAUUAACUUAGUCCUGCUUUCCUUUUAUGAUGGUGGGAUGAUAAAACUGGUGCACAAAUGAAAUGCUGCUCUUGAAGCAGUGGCGGCCAGACAACCGUUGAGAUAGAUCCACAGAUGAACAGCCUUUCUGUUGCUUGUCUACUAAUUCUAUCUCACAUUA
rfam:Leersia perrieri chromosome 8, whole genome shotgun sequence.